rnacentral:rRNA from 6 species
UUAAGUUAUUAAGGGCGCACGGUGGAUGCCUUGGCACUAGAAGCCGAUGAAGGACGUUACUAACGACGAUAUGCUUUGGGGAGCUGUAAGUAAGCUUUGAUCCAGAGAUUUCCGAAUGGGGAAACCCAGCAUGAGUUAUGUCAUGUUAUCGAUAUGUGAAUACAUAGCAUAUCAGAAGGCACACCCGGAGAACUGAAACAUCUUAGUACCCGGAGGAAGAGAAAGAAAAUUCGACUCCCUUAGUAGCGGCGAGCGAAAUGGGAAGAGCCCAAACCAACAAGCUUGCUUGUUGGGGUUGUAGGACACUCUAUACGGAGUUACAAAGGACGACAUUAGACGAAUCAUCUGGAAAGAUGAAUCAAAGAAGGUAAUAAUCCUGUAGUCGAAAAUGUUGUCUCUCUUGAGUGGAUCCUGAGUACGACGGAGCACGUGAAAUUCCGUCGGAAUCUGGGAGGACCAUCUCCUAAGGCUAAAUACUCUCUAGUGACCGAUAGUGAACCAGUACCGUGAGGGAAAGGUGAAAAGCACCCCGGAAGGGGAGUGAAAUAGAACCUGAAACCGUGUGCUUACAAGUAGUCAGAGCCCGUUAAUGGGUGAUGGCGUGCCUUUUGUAGAAUGAACCGGCGAGUUACGAUUUGAUGCAAGGUUAAGCAGUAAAUGUGGAGCCGUAGCGAAAGCGAGUCUGAAUAGGGCGUUUAGUAUUUGGUCGUAGACCCGAAACCAGGUGAUCUACCCUUGGUCAGGUUGAAGUUCAGGUAACACUGAAUGGAGGACCGAACCGACUUACGUUGAAAAGUGAGCGGAUGAACUGAGGGUAGCGGAGAAAUUCCAAUCGAACCUGGAGAUAGCUGGUUCUCUCCGAAAUAGCUUUAGGGCUAGCCUCAAGUGAUGAUUAUUGGAGGUAGAGCACUGUUUGGACGAGGGGCCCCUCUCGGGUUACCGAAUUCAGACAAACUCCGAAUGCCAAUUAAUUUAACUUGGGAGUCAGAACAUGGGUGAUAAGGUCCGUGUUCGAAAGGGAAACAGCCCAGACCACCAGCUAAGGUCCCAAAAUAUAUGUUAAGUGGAAAAGGAUGUGGCGUUGCCCAGACAACUAGGAUGUUGGCUUAGAAGCAGCCAUCAUUUAAAGAGUGCGUAAUAGCUCACUAGUCGAGUGACACUGCGCCGAAAAUGUACCGGGGCUAAACAUAUUACCGAAGCUGUGGAUUGUCCUUUGGACAAUGGUAGGAGAGCGUUCUAAGGGCGUUGAAGCAUGAUCGUAAGGACAUGUGGAGCGCUUAGAAGUGAGAAUGCCGGUGUGAGUAGCGAAAGACGGGUGAGAAUCCCGUCCACCGAUUGACUAAGGUUUCCAGAGGAAGGCUCGUCCGCUCUGGGUUAGUCGGGUCCUAAGCUGAGGCCGACAGGCGUAGGCGAUGGAUAACAGGUUGAUAUUCCUGUACCACCUAUAAUCGUUUUAAUCGAUGGGGGGACGCAGUAGGAUAGGCGAAGCGUGCGAUUGGAUUGCACGUCUAAGCAGUAAGGCUGAGUAUUAGGCAAAUCCGGUACUCGUUAAGGCUGAGCUGUGAUGGGGAGAAGACAUUGUGUCUUCGAGUCGUUGAUUUCACACUGCCGAGAAAAGCCUCUAGAUAGAAAAUAGGUGCCCGUACCGCAAACCGACACAGGUAGUCAAGAUGAGAAUUCUAAGGUGAGCGAGCGAACUCUCGUUAAGGAACUCGGCAAAAUGACCCCGUAACUUCGGGAGAAGGGGUGCUCUUUAGGGUUAACGCCCAGAAGAGCCGCAGUGAAUAGGCCCAAGCGACUGUUUAUCAAAAACACAGGUCUCUGCUAAACCGUAAGGUGAUGUAUAGGGGCUGACGCCUGCCCGGUGCUGGAAGGUUAAGAGGAGUGGUUAGCUUCUGCGAAGCUACGAAUCGAAGCCCCAGUAAACGGCGGCCGUAACUAUAACGGUCCUAAGGUAGCGAAAUUCCUUGUCGGGUAAGUUCCGACCCGCACGAAAGGCGUAACGAUUUGGGCACUGUCUCAACGAGAGACUCGGUGAAAUCAUAGUACCUGUGAAGAUGCAGGUUACCCGCGACAGGACGGAAAGACCCCGUGGAGCUUUACUGUAGCCUGAUAUUGAAAUUCGGCACAGCUUGUACAGGAUAGGUAGGAGCCUUUGAAACGUGAGCGCUAGCUUACGUGGAGGCGCUGGUGGGAUACUACCCUAGCUGUGUUGGCUUUCUAACCCGCACCACUUAUCGUGGUGGGAGACAGUGUCAGGCGGGCAGUUUGACUGGGGCGGUCGCCUCCUAAAAGGUAACGGAGGCGCUCAAAGGUUCCCUCAGAAUGGUUGGAAAUCAUUCAUAGAGUGUAAAGGCAUAAGGGAGCUUGACUGCGAGACCUACAAGUCGAGCAGGGUCGAAAGACGGACUUAGUGAUCCGGUGGUUCCGCAUGGAAGGGCCAUCGCUCAACGGAUAAAAGCUACCCCGGGGAUAACAGGCUUAUCUCCCCCAAGAGUUCACAUCGACGGGGAGGUUUGGCACCUCGAUGUCGGCUCAUCGCAUCCUGGGGCUGUAGUCGGUCCCAAGGGUUGGGCUGUUCGCCCAUUAAAGCGGUACGCGAGCUGGGUUCAGAACGUCGUGAGACAGUUCGGUCCCUAUCCGUCGUGGGCGUAGGAAAUUUGAGAGGAGCUGUCCUUAGUACGAGAGGACCGGGAUGGACAUACCUCUGGUGUACCAGUUGUCGUGCCAACGGCAUAGCUGGGUAGCUAUGUGUGGACGGGAUAAGUGCUGAAAGCAUCUAAGCAUGAAGCCCCCCUCAAGAUGAGAUUUCCCAACUUCGGUUAUAAGAUCCCUCAAAGAUGAUGAGGUUAAUAGGUUCGAGGUGGAAGCAUGGUGACAUGUGGAGCUGACGAAUACUAAUCGAUCGAAGACUUAAUCAA